rnacentral:lncRNA from 1 species
AUGCAGCUGAAGCCCGCACGCGCGUGGAAGCGACACGUGGUGCACCCGCUGGCCGACUGUCGAGGGUCGCCGGCACCCUUGGGGGGACAUUCAGCUUCUCGGCUCCUUGGCCCUGGUUGGUCCAUGACCUGUGGCUGCGGCCGCUGCCCUGCGGGCCGCUCCCUUGGCACCGGAGAGCUCCAUGCGCCUGGGCCCCCGGGAGUCCUGCUCUCCGCGUUCCCGCCCCCGGGAUCUCCAGCUCCGGCCCCUUCCCUCCGCCGUCUCUCGCCUGCACCACUCUCAAGUGCCCACUUCUCCCAAGAAGCGUUUGGGAGCUUCUCCGACCCAACGCGAGCCCCCGGCUCUGUCCUUCAUCCUUACGCUGCCAACUCCACCGCCCGCGUUUCUCUCUCACUUGCUUCUCUCCCGUCUCCUGUCCUCAGCACCGCCAGCCGCCAGCCUGCGCGGGACGCCGGGGAGCAAGGCCACGGAGGUGCACCCCCGGCCCCAGGGCGUCAGGUGCCCUGGGGCAUCGGAGCGCGGCCGAGCCCUCCCGGAGCACCGCCUGGUCAGCCCCCCGUGCUCCCGAGCCCAGCAGGGCGCCGGCUGUUUCCCUUCUGCGCGUGUGACCACCCCCCCCCCCCCCGGUCGCACGUCCUCGGACGGAGUGGCACCUGCUCUGCCCGACGCUGCUUCGGCCCCGCGGCCGCCGGGCUGCUGGAGAUGCCAGGUGGUGCCGUAGAGCUGCCCGGCAGCCAGGCCCCCAAGUGGCUGCCCCCAGCCCUCCCGGUCGAGGCUGCAGUGCAGGGGGAUGUGCGACCCGUCGGGAGAGACCCCAUCAUCCGGGACCCGGCGGCUGUGCCAGGCGCCCCCCAAGGGGUAGGCGCAUCCUCGGUCACGGCAGACACCUUCCUGCGGAGGCUGCCGAGAUCCCCGCUUCCCUGGCUCCGUGUGGAGCCCUGGCAUGGGGCGGGCACUGUGGGGGGCUGCAGGGACCCCCCACCCCAACAGCAGCAUCACUGUCCACCGGAUGUCCCAAGAGCGGCGUCAGACUUGGUGACUACGGGCAGCGUGUCCCGAACCCAGAGACCUGCGGCCUUGUCCCCGCGUCAGCCCUCGGAGCGGGCGAAGACGAGCUUCGGAACAGGGCCCAUCGACGCGAAGCUUGGGCUGCUUAGGGUGAAGGUUCUGAUUUUUCGAAGUCUUUAA